CAAGCCAGGACCAUACAGGAUCCCAGUCCACGUGUGUAGCAAUUGGUGUCAAAGCAAAGCAAUCUGAGCCAGGAGCACAUGAUGAGGGAGCAGAGACAGCUGAUACGGAGAGAUAGAUGGUUGCCAGCGGUACAACUGCUGGGGGUGCUGGCUGUGGUGAUUCAGAAGCAAGCAAGGACCUCUUCAGAGGAUGAAAAGAAUAAAGAGAACGGGCCUUCAGUAAGGAUAAACAUGAUAUGCAAAUGCUGCUUUUGCAUAAAGCAAUUUUUUUAAGUUUAUAUCAGGAGGUUGACCAGCAAAGCUGUAAAGAUAUGACUGCUGUUAUUAGGGCUGUUGUAGUAAAAACAAUUUACCACUGUUUGAAAUGAUCACUUUUUGAUAACUGUGAAGCCUGUGUGAUGGACACACCCAGUCAAAACCUUCCCCAAUUGUAUGUUUUGGGGACCCACAGAAAUAUUUCAUCAGAUUAGACUUAUUUCAUCUACACUGAAUGUGGCAUGGAUCCAAAAUAUAAUUAUGUACGAAGGCUACAGAAUGAAAGGGCUUAACUUGACCAGUGAAACUGUAACCAAAGUUGUGAAAACAAUAAGUGAGGUCGAAGAGUCAGCAGACCUGAUGUUGCUGCUGACAGGCAUUGGAAAUAACGUGUCAGCAAAAAUU